rnacentral:rRNA from 1 species
AUUGAACGCUGGCGGCAGGCCUAACACAUGCAAGUCGAGCGAGCGGCGGACGGGUGAGUAAUGUCUGGGAAACUGCCUGAUGGAGGGGGAUAACUACUGGAAACGGUAGCUAAUACCGCAUACCAUCGGAUGUGCCCAGAUGGGAUUAGCUUGUAGGUGAGGUAACGGCUCACCUAGGCGACGAUCCCUAACUGGUCUGAGAGGAUGAACAGGCACACUGGAACUGAGACACGGUCCAGACUCCUACGGGAGGCAGGAGUGGGGAAUAUUGGAAAAUGGGCGAAAGCCUGAGGCAGCCAUGCCGCGGGGAUGAAGAAGGCCUUCGGGUUGUAAAGGACUUUCAGCGGGGAGGCGUUACCCGCAGAAGAAGCACCGGCUAACUCCGUGCCAGCAGCCGCGGUAAUAC